rnacentral:rRNA from 1 species
UGGGGAAUAUUGCACAAUGGGCGCAAGCCUGAUGCAGCCAUGCCGCGUGUGUGAAGAAGGCCUUCGGGUUGUAAAGCACUUUUGUCCGGAAAGAAAUCCUUGGCUCUAAUACAGUCGGGGAUGACGGUACCGGAAGAAUAAGCACCGGCUAACUACGUGCCAGCAGCCGCGGUAAUACGUAGGGUGCAAGCGUUAAUCGGAAUUACUGGGCGUAAAGCGUGCGCAGGCGGUUUGCUAAGACCGAUGUGAAAUCCCCGGGCUCAACCUGGGAACUGCAUUGGUGACUGGCAGGCUAGAGUAUGGCAGAGGGGGGUAGAAUUCCACGUGUAGCAGGUGAAAUGCGUAGAGAUGUGGAGGAAUACCGAUGGCGAAGGCAGCCCCCUGGGCCAAUACUGACGCUCAUGCACGAAAGCGUGGGGAGCAAACAGGAUUAGAUACCCUGGUAGUCCACGCCCUAAACGAUGUCAACUAGUUGUUGGGGAUUCAUUUCCUUAGUAACGUAGCUAACGCGUGAAGUUGACCGCCUGGGGAGUACGGUCGCAAGAUU